GUGGGCCUCGGUCCCACUCCAGCAGCUCCAGCAGCAGCAACAGCAGUAACAGCAGCAGCAGCGCCUGGAGGUGUGGAGGCCAGUAAAGGGGGCGGCGGAAGAGGAGGAUUCAUCGUCUGAAUUCAACCGCUGUUGGCUUUUGCAAUGACAUGCUGCCUCACUUGGGAUGCCACUGUGAACCAAACUGACCUUUCAGAUGGUUAGUCUGAUGCUUGAGGAGCCCACUAGCAAUUCUCCUGAAGAUUCUGGGAAGAUUGUGGUGCCAAAAAAGAAUGGGACGGAAAUCUGCACGAGGCCACACAACACUUGAGACUUCCAACUUCUUCAGCUCUUGGAACUAAAAGUGAGGUUGUCACCCAAAUGGCCAUUCUUGCAAGUGGUCUCCAGAGCCCGAGUGAACUCACCUCUCCCUUCAGGGUUUCACCAGCCCUGCUGCAAAAAGGUGCUGCCGACAAAAUUUUCUAAAGUAAAAACUAAAGAUGCAUGGUCUGACAAAAAAAUGAUCUGACAUUUCUGUUCCUAACACUUUAAAUCCUCUUACUCUGCUACAUUUUUCUUUAUGGUGUUUACAGUUCAAUUCAUAUCUAUCCAUGCAUAUAUACAUGAUGUUCUAUUAGGUACCUAUUUUUUUGCUGUAUAGAGACAGUUGCCUCUUCUAUUAAAGUGAGGAAUGGGAUCAUAUUCAUUUUACUCAUUGCUGUAUCCUCAGUGCCUGAAAAUGUACCUGGCAUGAGGUAAGUACUUACCUAAUUUUUGUUUAAUGAAUAAACGAAGUUUUUGUUGCUUAUGUAGAGAAUGGAAUGGACUAUCUGAAAUAGAGAUUAAUU